GUUCUGUGCAGGCAUGGUUCACCUGUGUAGGCAUGACUCACCUGUGUAGGUAUGAGUUCUGUGUAGGCAUGACUCACCUGUGUAGGUAUGAGUUCUGUGCAGGCAUGGCUCACCUGUGUAGGGAUAACUCACCUGUGUAGGUAUAAGUUCUGUGUAGGCAUGACUCAACUGUGUAGGUAUGAGUUCUGUGUAGAUAUGACUCACCUGUGUAGGUAUAAGUUCUGUGUAGGCAUGACUCAACUGUAUAGAUAUGGGUUCUGUGUAGGGAUGACUUAAAUGUGUAGGUAUAAGUUCUGUGUAGAGGUAUGAGUUCUGUGUAGGGAUGACUCACCUGUGUAGGUAUGAGUUCUGUGUAGAUAUGACUCACCUGUGUAGAGGUAUUAGUUCUGUGUAGGCAUGACUCAACUGUAUAGGUAUGAGUUCUGUGUAGACAUGACUCACCUGUGUAGGUGUGAGUUCUGUGUAUGCAUGACUCACCUGUGUAGGUAUGAGUUCUGUGUAUGCAUGACUCACCUGUGUAGGUAUGAGUUCUGUGUAUGCAUGACUCACCUGUGUAGGUAUGACUUACCUGUGUAGAUAUGACUCACCUGUGUAGGUAUGACUCACCUGUGUAGGUAUGACUUUCCUGUGUGAUCAUUAUUUAUGGGUGUGGGUAUGUAUAACUUCAGUUGGUUACUUGGAGCAGGACAACAUUUAAUUCUUUUGUUUGUUUUAAACAUGUUAUUCAUGAGAAAAGGGUUUCAUUUUUUAUUAAUGGAACUAUGAAAUGGGCAUGUACUCCUAUAGCUGAAGUGUUUCCAAUUGCACAUUUUGUUGCUUUAUAUUGUUUAUGCACAGUAUACCUGCUGGUAAAUCUCUUUAAGACAUUUUGUCACUCUGUGGCUGUAAUGCUGCCUCUUUGAAAGUCAGCUUUUAUCAAAGACACGAUCAUGGAAAAAUAUAGGCCUAUCACGACUUUUAACUAUUAUAUUUCUAAGACAUGCAAGUGUUUCUUUUAAAAAUUCUUGUUUUUAAUUAAAACUUUUAUGACAUUUUCCCCCAACACUUCUUUUUUUUAAGUGCUAUUUUGCCUGUUCUAUCAGGCCAAAGGACUUUAUCAAACACCAUUCUUUGAUCAAUGAAUUAAAAUCGAGCACAAAUUAAACACCUUUUGAAACUAGUGGUGUUCUGAUUAAUUGAAAUAAUCAAAGAUUGGUCGCAGUGACCGAACGACCAAGCAAUCGAUCACAUUUUCUCAUAAUCAAACACAUACAAUUUUGGAUCUACUGUUUUAGCGUUUGAAACACUUGACGAUGGAACAUAUCUUAGAGGUUGUCAGGACCUGAAAACAUGUUUACAUCUUAGACAACUCCUACUGAAGGGUCAUGACUGAAUAUUUCUUGAAGACUCCGGGAAGUUUAUGUUCAUGAUAUAUUAGUCAUCACUUUAGAGUAGCAAGUUGCAUCAAGUUAUACUUAUUUGCAAUAACAAAACUUGAAUAAGAAAAUCUGAAAAAUGUUGCUUACCAUUUUUUUCAAUGAUACCUUGUUCGUAAUGAACCAAUCAUCAAUUGUGAGAUUUCGACCAAUACCAACACUAUAAGCAGCACAUGAGAUGUAACUAUGGUUAAACAUGAAUAACUAUGGUUAUCUCACACUAUAGCGUGACUAUUGUUAUCUCACUCUAUAUCAUAUGUAUGGUUAUCUCACACUAUAGCGUGACUAUGGUUAUCAGACUAAGGUUAUCUCACUAUAGUUAUCUCACUCUAUAUCAUAUGUAUGGUUGUCUCACAGCUGUUAUCUCACUGUAAUCAUGGUUAUCUCACUCAAUGCUGUAACUAAAGCUAUCUCACUCUGUGCAAUAACUAUGGUUAUCUUACAGUCUAAAUAAACUUAGGCUUAGUAUUAUUCGUUAGACUGCUAUACUGAGUCUAACAAAACCUAGUAGAAGGUUGUGUCAGCUAACCUUUUGGACUGACCAAUCAGAACACAGCUUACCAAAUCGCGAAAGUUAACAUUUGCACAUACUGUUUGAAC